rnacentral:misc_RNA from 1 species
UCUCCGUUGGUGAACCAGCGGAGGGAUCAUUACAGAGUUGCAAAACUCCCAAACCAUUGUGAACGUUACCUAUCCCGUUGCUUCGGCGGGCGGCCCGGGCCCCAUGCCCGGCGCCCCCCCGGCCCCCCGUGGGCGCCCGCCGGAGGUAAACCAAACCCUUGAAUUGUAUGGCCUCUCUGAGUCUUCUGUACUGAAUAAGUCAAAACUUUCAACAACGGAUCUCUUGGUUCUG